rnacentral:rRNA from 1 species
UACGUAGGGUGCAAGCGUUGUUCGGAAUUACUGGGCGUAAAGGGCGCGUAGGCGGCCAACUAAGUCAGACGUGAAAUCCCUCGGCUCAACCGGGGAACUGCGUCUGAUACUGGAUGGCUUGAAUUCGGGAGAGGGAUGCGGAAUUCCAGGUGUAGCGGUGAAAUGCGUGAGAUAUCUGGAGGAACACCGGUGGCGAAGGCGGCAUCCUGGACCGAGAUUGACGCUGAUGCGCGAAAGCCAGGGGAGCAAACGGG